rnacentral:rRNA from 1 species
GACGAACGCUGGCGGCGUGCUUAACACAUGCAAGUCGAGCGGUAAGGCCCUUUCGGGGGUACACGAGCGGCGAACGGGUGAGUAACACGUGGGUGACCUGCCCUUAGCUCUGGGAUAAGCCUGGGAAACUGGGUCUAAUACCGGAUAUGACUCCAUGACGCAUGUUGUGGGGUGGAAAGCCUUGUGCGGCUAGGGAUGGGCCCGCGGCCUAUCAGCUUGUUGGUGGGGUGAUGGCCACCGAGGCGACGACGGGUAGCCGGCCUGAGAGGGCGACCGGCCACACUGGGGACUGAGACACGGCCCAGACUCCUACGGGAGGCAGCAGUGGGGAAUCUUGCGCAAUGGGCGAAAGCCUGACGCAGCGACGCCGCGUAGGGGAUGACGGCCUCGGUGUAAC